rnacentral:rRNA from 1 species
UCCACCCGAGACUCAGUGAAAUGGAACUCGGUGGGAAGAUGCGGUGGACCCGCGGCAAGACUGAAAGACCCCGUGAGCCUUUACUACAGCUUGACACUGAACAUUGAGCCUUGAUGUGUAGGAUAGGUGGGAGGUUUUGAAGUGUGUACGCCAGUCUGAAUGGAGCCGGCCUUGAAAUACCGCCCUUUAAUGUUUGCUGUUCUAACGUGGGCCCCUUACCGGGCUUGCGGACAGUGUCUGGUGG